GCAGUGAGGGCGAUUCCAGAGGACUCUGUAGGAUGAUGCUUUGAGAUUUACACUGACAGCCUUGGGGACCUUUUGAAACUUCUAACCAGGUUUCCUAAGACGUAGCUGCUGAGCGAACAAAUGCACAAAGGCAUGCGUGAACGAAUGGUGGACUUUGAUCAUAAAUUUAUUAAAGCUAAAAUGGACUCAGGGUAGAGACUGCCAAUCUAAUGAAUCAAAUCCUGGUAUGUACACAUAUUACGCUCGGACAUAACUACUCUCAGUAAAGUUUCUACUUUCAUGGCCAUGGCUCCAGAAACGGUGCUGUAUACCCUGAGAAGCAGCAGCGUGACCACCGUGUCAGGAACUUCCCACAGGAAACACGGCUGGAAUGGCACUUUCCACUCCCAUUUAGAUGAUCAAAAAGGUUGUUCUUUAAAUUUGUACAUUAAGGAUCUUCUCACAAAAGGAAACUGUACCUAGUAUUUUUUAUGCUAGAUGCAAUUUCAUGUACAUUCAUAACCAAGAGUGCAAAAAAGAGAGAGAAAUGUCAUCAUACUCUGAGUCCUGGAUGGAUGAAAAUAACACAAAACAUGCCAUUUUAAGUUCAGUAAAUCAUUUAGGAGAAGGGAGAUUAAAGAGAGGCAGGCGAAGAGAGCAAUACCCAAGAACUGUUUUCUGUGGAUUUUUCUGCUCAGGGUCACAGCAACAUGAUAUAUGUGAUCUAUGGGUGAGGUCGAGGUAAAAUGCCUAAAAUCCAACUUCUUGGAUGUCAAAGAGAAUUCAUAGAAUGAAGACACUGAGUACUUUCUGCCAUUGCUUUUCUGAGCUGUUACUGUGGGCUGUGGAGUAAAAGCAGGUUUGUUGGAAGUAUUGUCUUCAUUCGGUUCCUCCCCAAGUUAGAAUCUCCUGCAUGGUCCUCAGAACUUAAGCUAUGGCUCUCCUGUGUUGUCAGAUUGGAUAGCUAUCUGGAGCUUCACAAACUGGCUCUGAAGGCCCAGUUUAAAUGCUUCCAGUUGCAGAUGCAGCAUGCCAACAGAUUACCUGGUGUCGCUGGAGCUUACCCUGGCUAAGCAGAGCCAAAGUGCAUGCCCCACCCAGAUCUCUUUUAAAAAUUCAGCUAGAUACUAAAUGAUGCCUAUAAUGAGUAUGAACUGUAUUACCAUCAUGAGAACUGUGGUGUAUAAAUACAUCAUGAAGAUUAGUCACAGGCAACUCACAGUAGACAUCUGACUCGACUCGGGUUCUUCUUGCAAGCCAUUCAUUGACACGACCACUCAGCUGAGUGUGAAAGCGGAUGUUCCCCUAUCAGCCUCAUCAUCAAGAAUGAACACUGAGCACAUAAGCCUGAUUAAGUACAUAUUGACUAUUAAAAUUCUAAUAAAUA